GCGAGAAAACUUUGCAAUGUGCGAAAGCACGACAAGGUUAAUCCGAGUGGUUUCUGCUAAAGGAACCUUUUGUCGGUCCUAGAAACACUGAUGAAUAAGGGGGUGGGCAAGUUCUGGUGUCAGCCGCCGCGGUAAAACCAGCACCUCAAGUGGUCAGGAUGAUUAUUGGGCCUAAAGCAUCUGUAGCCUGCUUUGUAAGUUUCGGUAAAUCCAUAUGCUCAACAUAUGGGCUGCCGGGAAUACUGCAGAGCUAGGGAGUGGGAGAGGUAGACGGUACUCGGUAGGAAGGGGUAAAAUCCUUUGAUCUAUUGAUGACCACCUGUGGCGAAGGCGGUCUACCAGAACAC
rnacentral:rRNA from 2 species